rnacentral:rRNA from 1 species
AGUGAACGCUGGCGGUAGGCCUAACACAUGCAAGUCGAACGGCAGCACAGUAAGAGCUUGCUCUUACGGGUGGCGAGUGGCGGACGGGUGAGGAAUACAUCGGAAUCUACUUUUUCGUGGGGGAUAACGUAGGGAAACUUACGCUAAUACCGCAUACGACCUACGGGUGAAAGCAGGGGAUCUUCGGACCUUGCGCGAUUGAAUGAGCCGAUGUCGGAUUAGCUAGUUGGCGGGGUAAAGGCCCACCAAGGCGACGAUCCGUAGCUGGUCUGAGAGGAUGAUCAGCCACACUGGAACUGAGGCACGGUCCAGACUCCUACGGGAGGCAGCAGUGGGGAAUAUUGGACAAUGGGCGCAAGCCUGAUCCAGCCAUACCGCGUGGGUGAAGAAGGCCUUCGGGUUGUAAAGCCCUUUUGUUGGGAAAGAAAAGCAGCAGGUUAAUAACCCGCUGUUCUGACGGUACCCAAAGAAUAAGCACCGGCUAACUUCGUG